AAAUGUUAUGAUGAUUGGCCAAAUGUUCAACUGCUCUGAAGAGAGUGAAUGAAAACAGCCUUUCUGAACAUCC